rnacentral:rRNA from 1 species
GACGGAGGGGGCAAGCGUUGUUCGGAAUUAUUGGGCGUAAAGGGCGCGUAGGCGGUUUGUUAAGUCGGUUGUGAAAGCCCGGGGCUCAACCCCGGAGAGUCGACCGAUACUGGCAGACUAGAGUACAGAAGAGGUAGCUGGAAUUCCAGGUGUAGCGGUGAAAUGCGUAGAUAUCUGGAGGAAUACCGGUGGCGAAGGCGGCAUCCUGGACCGAGAUUGACACUAAAGCGCGAAAGCCAGGGGAGCAAACGGG